UUGAAUUAUAGGCGAGGGUUGUAGCUGGCCUCUUGAGGCAUGUGCACACCUUGAUCGCACAUCCACAUCUCACACCUGUGCACAACCUGUAGCUUGGGAUGAUUACAAUGCUGGGAACAGUAUUGAAAGCCCUUGCUAUGAAAUUUUACACACACAUAUUAAAAGUUAUAGAAUGUUAUAUAGCGUGUAACAGCGCAAAUAAAUAUA
rnacentral:misc_RNA from 1 species